rnacentral:sRNA from 1 species
AUUCCUCUCUAGAAAAGAAAAGUGGAUUUGGGCCAUGUGCAGUGGCUCACGCCUGUAAUCUCAGCACUUUGGGCGGCCAAGGCAGGAGGAUCACUCGAGCCCAGGAAUUUAAGACCAGCUUGGGCAACACAGCGAGACUCUGUCUCUUACAAAAAAAAAAAAAAAAAAAAUUAGCCUGGUAUAGUGGUGUGAGCCUAGUGCUAUCCAUGUAUUCAGGAGGCUGAGGUGGGAGGGUUGCUUGAGCGUGGGAGGUCAAGGCUGCAGUGAGCUGUGAUCAUGCCGCUACACUCCAGCCUGGGCAACAGUGAGACCCUGUCUCAAAGAAAAGAAAAAAAAAAAAAAAAAAAGGAUUUGAUGGUCUCUUAAGAGUGAAUAUCUUAUCAAAUUAGGCAAUACAGAAUGUCAUCCAGAACAGUUUUUGGAAAGAAGAUCAAAAUUAGAUAAACUAUUGAUUAUUAUUCAAAAUGAAGACAUUGCAGGUUUCAUUCACAAGAUACCUGGCUUGGUGACUUUAAAGAAGCUCCCCUGUGUUAGUUUUGCUGGUGUUGAUAGCCUGGAUGAUGUUAAAAAUCAUACAUACAAUGAA